rnacentral:rRNA from 1 species
ACGGAAGGCAGCAGUGGGGGAUAUUGGACAAUGGGGGAAACCCUGAUCCAGCGACGCCGCGUGAGUGAAGAAGUAUUUCGGUAUGUAAAGCUCUAUCAGCAGGGAAGAAAAAUUCAAAAUUGACAGUACCUGACUAAGAAGCCCCGGCUAACUACGUGCCAGCAGCCGCGGUAAUACGUAGGGGGCAAGCGUUAUCCGGAUUUACUGGGUGUAAAGGGUGCGUAGACGGUUUGGCAAGUCAGAAGUGAAAUCCCGGGGCUUAACCCCGGUGCUGCUUUUGAAACUGUCAGACUAGAGUGCUGGAGGGGCAAGCGGAAUUCCUGGUGUAGCGGUGAAAUGCGUAGAUAUCAGGAGGAGCACCGGUGGCGAAGGCGGCUUGCUGGACAGUAACUGACGUUGAGGCACGAAAGCGUGGGGAGCAAACAGGAUUAGAUACCCUGGUA